UGAUGCCUCAAGCGUCUUCCACCGCGGCUACAACUGUACCCAGCCAGAUAUGGCCAGUACCAUCACGCCGGGACUACUACAAAGCCAUAUGGGCCGACCAUUUUUUGGAACAAUUUUUUAACUCGUGCAUAGACUGCUUAUGCGGCCGUAUGGGCCGGCAGUUUUUUCGGACCUCGUGCAUAGGCUGCUUAUGCGGCCUUAUGGGCCGGCAGUUUUGGACCUCAUGCAUCAACUGCUUAUGAGGCUGGAUGUGGCCAACAGGCUUUGUGUAAAAAAAAAUGUGGUCUGGUGGCGCCUUCGUGUAUAUGAAGGUUCCGGGUUCGAUUCCUGGUCAGACCCCCGACAUUGUUCGGGAGGUCUAGGUUUACUAACGCUGCUGAGGUGUGGAGAUGAGGUCUAGUUGAUGGACUAAGUUUCGCAUGCUGAGAUGGUGGUGGUGGCUGAUCUGUCUCUACGGAUGUUGGGUGACUGGAUGAGGAGGGGUCUAGUUGGCAGGACCCAAACCGCCGUCGGUCGUACGGUGUAAUCAACUUUCAAUACAUAUAGUCCAUGGCCUCCCGGCUUUGACGGACCCCCCCGCACUCGUGCGGCACUUGUAACUUGUAACUUGUAAUCCCAGUUCCAAUUUAUCCUUCCCUGCGACAAUGGCUGGAUUGACUGCUUAGGCCGGGCCACAGACAGCCACACCCCAACAAGUUCCAAGUGCAGGAGACUACAGGGACUGAUCGAGAAGCUUUCGCAGAAGUUCUCGCAGAC
rnacentral:lncRNA from 1 species